rnacentral:rRNA from 1 species
GACGGGUGAGUAAUGCCUAGGAAAUUGCCCUGAUGUGGGGGAUAACCAUUGGAAACGAUGGCUAAUACCGCAUAAUACCUACGGGUCAAAGAGGGGGACCUUCGGGCCUCUCGCGUCAGGAUAUGCCUAGGUGGGAUUAGCUAGUUGGUGAGGUAAUGGCUCACCAAGGCGACGAUCCCUAGCUGGUCUGAGAGGAUGAUCAGCCACACUGGAACUGAGACACGGUCCAGACUCCUACGGGAGGCAGCAGUGGGGAAUAUUGCACAAUGGGCGCAAGCCUGAUGCAGCCAUGCCGCGUGUGUGAAGAAGGCCUUCGGGUUGUAAAGCACUUUCAGUCGUGAGGAAGGUAGUGUAGUUAAUAGCUGCAUUAUUUGACGUUAGCGACAGAAGAAGCACCGGCUAACUCCGUGCCAGCAGCCGCGGUAAUACGGAGGGUGCGAGCGUUAAUCGGAAUUACUGGGCGUAAAGCGCAUGCAGGUGGUUUGUUAAGUCAGAUGUGAAAGCCCGGGGCUCAACCUCGGAAUAGCAUUUGAAACUGGCAGACUAGAGUACUGUAGAGGGGGGUAGAAUUUCAGGUGUAGCGGUGAAAUGCGUAGAGAUCUGAAGGAAUACCGGUGGCGAAGGCGGCCCCCUGGACAGAUACUGACACUCAGAUGCGAAAGCGUGGGGAGCAAACAGGAUUAGAUACCCUGGUAGUCCACGCCGUAAACGAUGUCUACUUGGAGGUUGUGGCCUUGAGCCGUGGCUUUCGGAGCUAACGCGUUAAGUAGACCGCCUGGGGAGUACGGUCGCAAGAUUAAAACUCAAAUGAAUUGACGGGGGCCCGCACAAGCGGUGGAGCAUGUGGUUUAAUUCGAUGCAACGCGAAGAACCUUACCUACUCUUGACAUCCAGAGAACUUUCCAGAGAUGGAUUGGUGCCUUCGGGAACUCUGAGACAGGUGCUGCAUGGCUGUCGUCAGCUCGUGUUGUGAAAUGUUGGGUUAAGUCCCGCAACGAGCGCAACCCUUAUCCUUGUUUGCCAGCACUUCGGGUGGGAACUCCAGGGAGACUGCCGGUGAUAAACCGGAGGAAGGUGGGGACGACGUCAAGUCAUCAUGGCCCUUACGAGUAGGGCUACACACGUGCUACAAUGGCGCAUACAGAGGGCGGCCAACUUGCGAGAGUGAGCGAAUCCCAAAAAGUGCGUCGUAGUCCGGAUCGGAGUCUGCAACUCGACUCCGUGAAGUCGGAAUCGCUAGUAAUCGUGGAUCA